rnacentral:rRNA from 1 species
UGGGGAAUAUUGCGCAAUGGGGGCAACCCUGACGCAGCCAUGCCGCGUGAAUGAAGAAGGCCUUCGGGUUGUAAAGCUCUUUCGGUAGCGAGGAAGGCAUUUAGUUUAAUAGACUAGGUGAUUGACGUUAACUACAGAAGAAGCACCGGCUAACUCCGUGCCAGCAGCCGCGGUAAUACGGAGGGUGCGAGCGUUAAUCGGAAUAACUGGGCGUAAAAGGGCACGCAGGCGGUGACUUAAGUGAGGUGUGAAAGCCCCGGGCUUAACCUGGGAAUUGCAUUUCAUACUGGGUCGCUAGAGUACUUUAGGGAGGGUAGAAUUCCACGUGUAGCGUGAAAUGCGUAGAGAUGUGGAGGAAUACCGAAGGCGAAGGAGCCCCUUGGGAAUGUACUGACGCUCAUGUGCGAAAGCGUGGGGAGCAAACAGGAUUAGAUACCCUGGUAGUCCACGCUGUAAAACGAUGUCGAUUUGGGGGUUGAGCUUUAAGCUUGGCGCCGUAGCUAACGUGAUAAAUCGACCGCCUGGGGAGUACGGCCGCAAGGUUAAAAACUU